CUGAAAUAUAUUGUUUAGAAAAAUAUGCAUUGAAUUAGGGUGUGUGGAGGGAAGGGAGGUUUGAAUUAAAAAAAAAAUUCCCUUCUCUUCAAAAUAUGAUUCAAAACUACACUGAAGUCCAUUUUGAGGCAAAAACGUAGGAUCAAUUUUUGUUCUCGUGACUAAGCUAUCAGCUGGAAUGAUGAGGCAGGAUGAGUUACUGACAGAGGGCACAGGAUGUAGGAGGGAGUGCAUGGAAAUGGAGGGGUCUGUCACUCCUACUCUGAGACACAAACUCACUGAUCAUGUAUGGAAACAGACAUUGGAGGUUGAAAGACGGGUUCUUAUUCUCCUGCCAAAGACGGCUGGAAGUAAUCUGAAGUGCACAAAGGGGCUGAAACCACUGGCUUCAGUGGAAUAUGAUAUUCUCUGUGCUCCUCAUACUAUGCUGUGCAUGGAGGAAGGUUCCCCAACUCGGCUGGCCUGGAAGAACAAAGAACCGAAUGGCUCCUUGGGACAAUGCUGCGGUAUUACUGCUAGACUGCUGGCCUGACUCUCAAUACUUUCUAUUAGUACGAAUAGCAGUUCCAGUAAGGAUCAUAAGGAAGCAGUAAAUUGGGAAAUACCUGUCAUCAAACUUUUUAUGUUCAAGUCCACAAGAAGAUUAUGUUAAAUAUUUUCAUUCUUCACAUUCCUUUUAUUCCAAUUAGCAACAUACAAAGACUGCACAGAGCCUCCUUUAACUGAGCUAACAAAACAAGCAGAUUCUACAGUAACAAGAAAGGACAAUGAGCAGAUAAAGCCUACCAAGAAAAUACUGGGCUACCCACACGCUUCUUUCCAGACCCAUUCACAUCAAAAGUAAUACCAUGGAAGAAUUUGGCCCACAGUAAUUGUUUGGCAUAUUUGACUACUCAGGGUCACAAGCCCCAGUGAAAAUCAUUAUAUACCAAGUGCUGUACAGAUACAUAUGGCUAGUUUUUGAGUGGCUUUACCCUACUGACACAAUGGAAUAAGAGAUGACAUGACAUGUCAUUCCUCAUACAAAAUUAAAGGAAAGCAGGAACUGCAUGCACUAUACUUUCUCUUCUCAUCUACUUUUCCCUAAGUGGACAUGGAGGGUUUGAAAGAGGGAGAAAACUGGCAAUUCCUUGGCUUCAUACACUCCCAACAUACCAGCCAGUAGAAAGGGAGAAGCUGCAAACUGUUCACAGUUGCAUCAGUUGCUUUGUUUCAGAACAGGGAAGCAGGAAAAUUAAAGUAAAAUCCCAGGACUAGGACUCUGCUAGAUGUGCUGACCAUGGGAAGGGCUUUGAGCUAAAUCUCAGUGUAGACUGUAAGAAGAAAACAUUGUUGGGGAUUAACAACCUAAGGGCAGAGUUUGGCCCAGAAUGCUUAAUGCUUCUUCAUAAAUGGUUAAAAAUCAUGGUUUCUGACUAUGCUAUUAAAAAAGUAGCUUCACUCCCCAUGCUAUAAUAAGAAUGGUUUGCUACAUGAGGGCUAAUUCCUGUUAAAUUGAGCCUGAAGCAAUUAGCCUAUUUUUAACUGUCAGAGUUAAUUGUUAUUUGACCCAAUUAAAG
ensembl:lncRNA